rnacentral:rRNA from 1 species
UACGUAGGGACCGAGCGUUGGCCGGAAUCAUUGGGCGUAAAGGGUGCGUAGGCGGCGCGGUAAGUCGGGUGUGAAAUCUCGGGGCUUAACUCCGAAACUGCAUUCGAUACUACCGUGCUUGAGGACUGGAGAGGAGACUGGAAUUUACGGUGUAGCGGUGAAAUGCGUAGAUAUCGUAAGGAAGACCAGUGGCGAAGGCGGGUCUCUGGACAGUUCCUGACGCUGAGGCACGAAGGCCAGGGGAGCAAAAGGG